CAUAGGUUAAUGAGGCGAACCGGGGGAACUGAAACAUCUAAGUACCCCGAGGAAAAGAAAUCAACCGAGAUUCCCCCAGUAGCGGCGAGCGAACGGGGAGGAGCCCAGAGCCUGAAUCAGCAUGUGUGUUAGUGGAAGCGUCUGGAAAGGCGCGCGAUACAGGGUGACAGCCCCGUACACAAAAGCGCAUGUGCUGUGAGCUCGAUGAGUAGGGCGGGACACGUGGUAUCCUGUCUGAAUAUGGGGGGACCAUCCUCCAAGGCUAAAUACUCCUGACUGACCGAUAGUGAACCAGUACCGUGAGGGAAAGGCGAAAAGAACCCCGGCGAGGGGAGUGAAAAAGAACCUGAAACCGUGUACGUACAAGCAGUGGGAGCACCCUUUGGGGUGUGACUGCGUACCUUUUGUAUAAUGGGUCAGCGACUUAUAUUCUGUAGCAAGGUUAACCGUAUAGGGGAGCCGGAGGGAAACCGAGUCUUAAC
rnacentral:rRNA from 1 species